rnacentral:tRNA from 1 species
UGGAGUUGUGACUCAGUGGCAGAGUGCUUACCUAGCAUCCAUGAGGCACUGAGUUCGAUCCCCAGCAUAUAA